rnacentral:rRNA from 1 species
UCGAGUGGCGAACGGGUGAGUAACACGUGGGUGAUCUGCCCUGCACUUUGGGAUAAGCCUGGGAAACUGGGUCUAAUACCGAAUAGGACCGCAUGCUUCAUGGUGUGUGGUGGAAAGCUUUUGCGGUGUGGGAUGGGCCCGCGGCCUAUCAGCUUGUUGGUGAGGUAAUGGCUUACCAAGGCGACGACGGGUAGCCGGCCUGAGAGGGUGACCGGCCACACUGGGACUGAGAUACGGCCCAGACUCCUACGGGAGGCAGCAGUGGGGAAUAUUGCACAAUGGGCGCAAGCCUGAUGCAGCGACGCCGCGUGAGGGAUGACGGCCUUCGGGUUGUAAACCUCUUUCGCCAGGGACGAAGCGCAAGUGACGGUACCUGGAGAAGAAGGACCGGCCAACUACGUGCCAGCAGCCGCGGUAAUACGUAGGGUCCGAGCGUUGUCCGGAAUUACUGGGCGUAAAGAGCUCGUAGGUGGUUUGUCGCGUUGUUCGUGAAAACUCACAGCUUAACUGUGGGCGUGCGGGCGAUACGGGCAGACUUGAGUACUGCAGGGGAGACUGGAAUUCCUGGUGUAGCGGUGGAAUGCGCAGAUAUCAGGAGGAACACCGGUGGCGAAGGCGGGUCUCUGGGCAGUAACUGACGCUGAGGAGCGAAAGCGUGGGGAGCGAACAGGAUUAGAUACCCUGGUAGUCCACGCCGUAAACGGUGGGUACUAGGUGUGGGUUUCCUUCCUUGGGAUCCGUGCCGUAGCUAACGCAUUAAGUACCCCGCCUGGGGAGUACGGCCGCAAGGCUAAAACUCAAAGAAAUUGACGGGGGCCCGCACAAGCGGCGGAGCAUGUGGAUUAAUUCGAUGCAACGCGAAGAACCUUACCUGGGUUUGACAUGCACAGGACGCCGGCAGAGAUGUCGGUUCCCUUGUGGCCUGUGUGCAGGUGGUGCAUGGCUGUCGUCAGCUCGUGUCGUGAGAUGUUGGGUUAAGUCCCGCAACGAGCGCAACCCUUGUCUCAUGUUGCCAGCACGUUAUGGUGGGGACUCGUGAGAGACUGCCGGGGUCAACUCGGAGGAAGGUGGGGAUGACGUCAAGUCAUCAUGCCCCUUAUGUCCAGGGCUUCACACAUGCUACAAUGGCCGGUACAAAGGGCUGCGAUGCCGUGAGGUGGAGCGAAUCCUUUCAAAGCCGGUCUCAGUUCGGAUCGGGGUCUGCAACUCGACCCCGUGAAGUCGGAGUCGCUAGUAAUCGCAGAUCAGCAACGCUGCGGUGAAUACGUUCCCGGGCCUUGUACACACCGCCCGUCACGUCAUGAAAGUCGGUAACACCCGAAGCCGGUGGCCUAACCCCUUGUGGGAGGGAGC